CAACAAUAACAACAACUAAGCCUUCAUCCUAAACUACUCAAUAGCUUUUGACUUAGAGGGUGAAUCUUGAAACAAUAGGAAAAAUUUUCUUUUGUAUUAAAGAAAGGCAAGGAAUUCAAUUCGUUAAGCAUAUUCUAUCCAACUUAGCUUAAUUUUUCUACCUAUUUUCCAAAAUGAGUGAAGAAAUGCCCUCAUUUCUUUUCUUUUUCAUGUUUUUCAUCUCACCACCUCAACAUUUCUUCUGCAAUCUUCUAUUAUUAACAGAUAUGGAACCCAAAAAAUAAAAUAAAAUAGAGCACCUGUUAACAACAAAGUAGACAGAUUCUGGUUUUGCUUGGAUGGCAGUUUUAGUGAAUCCC
rnacentral:misc_RNA from 1 species